rnacentral:pre_miRNA from 1 species
AAUGGAGCCAUGGAUUUCAGUAGCAUCCACUGAACUGAUGGAUGCUUGUGAACUCAUCCCACCUGGCUCUGAA